rnacentral:rRNA from 1 species
AUGGAGGAAGGGCGCGAGGGAUGGCCGUGCGCGGCGGCGGGGAAGGCGGUGGCGGCGGAGGAGGGGGAGGAGGAGGACCAGUUCGACCGGCUGCCCGACGCGGUGCUCCUGGACGUCUUCAACCGCAUCGGCGACGUCAAGGCGCUCGGCCGCUGCGCGCUCGUCUCGCGCCGCUUCCACGGCCUCGUCCCGCUCGUUGACUCCGUCUUCGUCCGCGUCGACUGCGUCAUUCCCGACGAGCCGGCCCCCUCCUCGGCCGGCUCCCCGCAGGCCGCCGCGCCGUCGCGGGGCCGGGGCGCGCUCGCCCACAUCGCGCGCCUCGUGCUCGGCGGCAUCGUCAGGCCCAUCCAGGCGCUGGGCCAGAUCCUCUCCCCCACCCUGGCCAUCGUCUCACGGCGCUCCGUGGCCCUGCCGCCCGCCUCGCCGCCUCCGCCCGCCGGGGACGUCUCCCACCACUCGCCCUCCGAGGUCCUCCGCUCCUUCAAGGAGCUCCGCAGCCUCCGCAUCGAGCUGCCCACCGGAGAGCUCGGCAUUGACGACGGCGUGCUCCUCAAGUGGAAGGCCGACUUUGGGUCCACCCUCGGCAGCUGUGUUAUCCUCGGCGCGUCCUCUGUAUCGUCAAAACCGCUGCAAUCACCAAUGUCGUCCCCUAAUGCCGAGGACAGCGAGGCUACAUCUCUGGAUGACAACAGGGAGCCUGAAGAACUGGCGAGCAUCCCUGAGUCGCUUCAUACGAAUGGGGGCCUUAAGCUCCGCGUCGUCUGGACCAUCAGCUCGCUCAUUGCUGCAUCGGCUCGGCAUUACUUGCUGCAGCCAAUCAUUGCCGAUCAUGAAAUGCUUGAUAGCUUGAACCUCACGGAUGCUGACGGGCAGGGUGUGCUCACUAUGGACAAGAAGCAGUUACAGGAGCUGCGAGUGCGGCCUGUGUCGGUUUCUGGCAAUUCACACCGCACGCUCAUGCCAGCGCUCAUUAUGAGGCUUUGGUAUGCCCCGCAUAUUGAACUUCCCGGGGGAGUACUGCUGAAGGGCGCCACGCUGGUGGCGAUCAGACCAAGUGACGAUGUGCUGAGGGAGGGAGGAGGGGUUGAGGCUGCUGGUCCGGCAGGAGCUAGCUGGAUCUCAGAUGCCUUUGAGGAGCCAUAUCGAACAGCGGCAAAGGUGCUUUUCAAGCGGCGGACAUACAGCCUUGAAAUGAACUCAUUCUGA